rnacentral:rRNA from 1 species
UAACGCGUGGGAACGUACCCUUCACUACGGAAUAGUCCCGGGAAACUGGGUUUAAUACCGUAUACGCCCUUCGGGGGAAAGAAUUUCGGUGAGGGAUCGGCCCGCGUUAGAUUAGUUAGUUGGUGGGGUAAUGGCCUACCAAGACUACGAUCUAUAGCUGGUUUGAGAGGAUGAUCAGCAACACUGGGACUGAGACACGGCCCAGACUCCUACGGGAGGCAGCAGUGGGGAAUCUUAGACAAUGGGGGCAACCCUGAUCUAGCGAUGCCGCGUGAGUGAUGAAGGCCUUAGGGUCGUAAAGCUCUUUCGCCUGUGAUGAUAAUGACAGUAGCAGGUAAAGAAACCCCGGCUAACUCCGUGCCAGCAGCCGCGGUAAUACGGAGGGGGUUAGCGUUGUUCGGAAUUACUGGGCGUAAAGCGCACGUAGGCGGAUUAGUCAGUCAGAGGUGAAAUCCCAGGGCUCAACCCUGGAACUGCCUUUGAUACUGCUAGUCUUGAGUUCGAGAGAGGUAAGUGGAAUUCCGAGUGUAGAGGUGAAAUUCGUAGAUAUUCGGAGGAACACCAGUGGCGAAGGCGGCUUACUGGCUCGAUACUGACGCUGAGGUGCGAAAGUGUGGGGA